rnacentral:rRNA from 1 species
CUGGCUCAGGAUGAACGCUAGCGGCAGGCUUAACACAUGCAAGUCGAGGGGCAACGCGAGUAGCAAUACUUGGCGGCGACCGGCGCAAGGGUGCGUAACGGCGUGAGCAACAUGCCCGUAUCAGGGGGAUAAUCCAGGGAAACUUGGUCUAAUACCCCAUAGUAAUUUUGUAAGGCAUCUUAUAAGAUUUAAAGCUUUGGUGGAUACGGAUUGGCUCGCGUGACAUUAGCUGGAUGGUAAGGUAACGGCUUACCAUGGCUAUGAUGUCUAGGGGUUCUGAGAGGAAGGUCCCCCACACUGGAACUGAGACACGGUCCAGACUCCUACGGGAGGCAGCAGUGAGGAAUAUUGGACAAUGGAUGGAAAUCUGAUCCAGCCAUGCCGCGUGAAGGAAGAAGGUCCUAUGGAUUGUAAACUUCUUUUGUAUGGGAGCAAUAAGGCCUACGAGUAGGUUGAUGAGAGUACCAUACGAAUAAGCACCGGCUAACUCCGUGCCAGCCGCCGC